GGAUAGCUCAGUUGGUAGAGCUGGAGACUCUUAACCCCAGGGUUGUGGGUUCCAGCCCCACAUUGGACA